rnacentral:rRNA from 1 species
GAGAGGAUGAUCAGCCACACUGGAACUGAGACACGGUCCAGACUCCUACGGGAGGCAGCAGUGAGGAAUCUUGCGCAAUGGGGGCAACCCUGACGCAGCAACGCCGCGUGAGUGAGGAAGGUCUUCGGAUCGUAAAGCUCUGUCAGUUGGGAAGAACUACCUAAGGGUGAAUAUCUCUUAGGCUUGACGGUACCAACAGAGGAAGCACCGGCUAACUCCGUGCCAGCAGCCGCGGUAAUACGGGGGGUGCAAGCGUUGUUCGGAAUUAUUGGGCGUAAAGAGCGUGUAGGCGGCCGGAUGUGUCAGAUGUGAAAGCCCUGGGCUUAACCCAGGAAGUGCAUUUGAAACUGUCCGGCUUGAGUAGGGGAGAGGGAAGUGGAAUUCCUGGUGUAGAGGUGAAAUUCGUAGAUAUCAGGAGGAACACCGGUGGCGAAGGCGACUUCCUGGCCCUAUACUGACGCUGAGACGCGAGAGCGUGGGUAGCAAACAGGAUUAGAUACCCUGGUAGUCCACGCCGUAAACGAUGUUCACUAGGUGUUGGGGGUAUUGACCCCCUCAGUGCCGGAGCUAACGCGUUAAGUGAACCGCCUGGGGAGUACGGUCGCAAGACUAAAACUCAAAGGAAUUGACGG